GUGGGGGAUAUUGCACAAUGGGGGAAACCCUGAUGCAGCGACGCCGCGUGAAGGAAGACGUACUUCGGUAUGUAAACUUCUAUCAGCAGGGAAGAAGAUGACGGUACCUGACUAAGAAGCCCCGGCUAACUACGUGCCAGCAGCCGCGGUAAUACGUAGGGGGCAAGCGUUAUCCGGAUUUACUGGGUGUAAAGGGAGCGUAGACGGUGAAGCAAGUCUGAUGUGAAAACCCGGGGCUGAACUCCGGGAUUGCAUUGGAAACUGUUUUACUUGAGUGCUGGAGGGGCAAGCGGAAUUCCUGGUGUAGCGGUGAAAUGCGUAGAUAUCAGGAAGAACACCGGUGGCGAAGGCGGCUUGCUGGACAGUAACUGACGUUGAGGCUCGAAAGCGUGGGGAGCAAACAGGAUUAGAUACCCCUGUAGUCC
rnacentral:rRNA from 1 species